UACGUAGGGUGCAAGCGUUAAUCGGAAUUACUGGGCGUAAAGCGUGCGCAGGCGGUUUUGCAAGACAGAUGUGAAAUCCCCGGGCUCAACCUGGGAACUGCAUUUGUGACUGCAAGGCUAGAAUCUGGCAGAGGGGGGUAGAAUUCCACGUGUAGCAGUGAAAUGCGUAGAUAUGUGGAGGAAUACCGAUGGCGAAGGCAGCCCCCUGGGCUAGAACUGACGCUGAGGCGCGAAAGCUAGGGGAGCAAACGGG
rnacentral:rRNA from 1 species